GGGCCCGUGGGGGAGGACUACACAUGCAAGUCGAGCGGAUGAAGGGAGCUUGCUCCUGGAUUCAGCGGCGGACGGGUGAGUAAUGCCUAGGAAUCUGCCUGGUAGUGGGGGAUAACGUCCGGAAACGGGCGCUAAUACCGCAUACGUCCUGAGGGAGAAAGUGGGGGAUCUUCGGACCUCACGCUAUCAGAUGAGCCUAGGUCGGAUUAGCUAGUUGGUGGGGUAAAGGCCUACCAAGGCGACGAUCCGUAACUGGUCUGAGAGGAUGAUCAGUCACACUGGAACUGAGACACGGUCCAGACUCCUACGGGAGGCAGCAGUGGGGAAUAUUGGACAAUGGGCGAAAGCCUGAUCCAGCCAUGCCGCGUGUGUGAAGAAGGUCUUCGGAUUGUAAAGCACUUUAAGUUGGGAGGAAGGGCAGUAAGUUAAUACCUUGCUGUUUUGACGUUACCAACAGAAUAAGCACCGGCUAACUUCGUGCCAGCAGCCGCGGUAAUACGAAGGGUGCAAGCGUUAAUCGGAAUUACUGGGCGUAAAGCGCGCGUAGGUGGUUCAGCAAGUUGGAUGUGAAAUCCCCGGGCUCAACCUGGGAACUGCAUCCCAAAACUACUGAGCUAGAGUACGGUAGAGGGUGGUGGAAAU
rnacentral:rRNA from 1 species